rnacentral:rRNA from 1 species
AUUGAACGCUGGCGGCAUGCUUUACACAUGCAAGUCGAACGGUAACAGGCCGCAAGGUGCUGACGAGUGGCGAACGGGUGAGUAAUGCAUCGGAACGUGCCCAGUCGUGGGGGAUAACGCAGCGAAAGCUGCGCUAAUACCGCAUACGAUCUCUGGAUGAAAGCGGGGGACCGAAAGGCCUCGUGCGAUUGGAGCGGCCGAUGUCAGAUUAGGUAGUUGGUGGGGUAAAGGCCCACCAAGCCAACGAUCUGUAGCUGGUCUGAGAGGACGACCAGCCACACUGGGACUGAGACACGGCCCAGACUCCUACGGGAGGCAGCAGUGGGGAAUUUUGGACAAUGGGCGCAAGCCUGAUCCAGCAAUGCCGCGUGCAGGAAGAAGGCCUUCGGGUUGUAAACUGCUUUUGUACGGAACGAAACGGUCCGGGCUAAUACCCUGGGCUAAUGACGGUACCGUAAGAAUAAGCACCGGCUAACUACGUGCCAGCAGCCGCAGUAACAC